CCCUUAGAUGUUCUGGGCUGCACGCGUGCUACACUGAUAUUGCCAAUAUGUCAUUCUUAUCCGAAAUGGAUUGGGUAAUCAAGUAAUGAAAUUUCAUGCUUGGAAUCGGUAAUUGCAAUUUUAUCGUGAACGAGGAAUUCCUAGUAAGCACUAGUCAUCAGCUAAUGUUGAUUAUGUCCCUGCCCUUUGUACACACCGCCCGUCGCUACUACUGAUUGGGUGUUCAAGUGGGAUGCUUAGACCCUUGUUGCAUGGUUCAUUAUUGUGCUCCGAAAGGAAAAAGUUUCAAGCUUGAGUGUCUAGAGAAAGUAAAAGUCGUAACA
rnacentral:rRNA from 1 species